rnacentral:rRNA from 1 species
GGCUCAUUCAAAUUUCUUCCCUAUCAACUUUCGAUGUUUGGGUAUUGGCCAAACAUGGUGGCAACGGGUAACGGAGGGUUAGGGCUCGACCCCGGAGAAGGAGCCUGAGAAACGGCUACUACAUCCAAGGAAGGCAGCAGGCGCGCAAAUUACCCAAUCCCGACCGGGGAGGUAGUGACAAUAAAUACUGAUACAGGGCUCUUUUGGGUCUUGUAAUCGGAAUGAGUACAAUUUAAAUCCCUUAACGAGGAACAAUUGGAGGGCAAGUCUGGUGCCAGCAGCCGCGGUAAUUCCAGCUCCAAUAGCGUAUAUUANAGUUGUUGUGGUUAAAAAGCUCGUAGUUG